GGUGCAGAUACGGUUUGGAAGGAAUCCCAGCUGGGCCUCCUCCCAGAAGCCUUCUGAUCACUCACCAGAUAACUCUAGCUGCUUGCAGAGUCCUGGGAAUCUUAGCUUCUCCAGGAAACCAGCUUCAAGGGCAACAAGAGGUUCUGAGGAGCUAGAAUAAUCUCGGAAGCUGAAACUGCUUUGUCCUUUUGCUUCCUUAGGUUGGAAAUAUUUUUGCAAUACCACUGAAUCCUCCAGUUUUUACCCCUUACGAUGGGAAGUGAAUACAGUAUGAAAAGGGAGUGGGACAUAUGAGAGGAACGACAGGCUCAAAAUAUGAAGACUUAAUCCAGACACCUCUGUGUCUCUGAACUUGCGUUGUUUCUUCUUUGGAGGUGAAGUACACAUCGUUUUACUCCGGGCAGAGGACUUGUGCUCCUUUUGAGAACUUUCAGCUCUGUAGUGUCGAGUCUUCUGGUUUCCAGAUCCACAUCCUGCCCUGGGGGAAUUGACAUCCAUCAGGAAGAUAGCUACCAUGUCAGAAAGCAGCCCUGGAGAGAGGGAAGCCAACUGCCAUGUCUUGAGGAUUCUCAGGUAGCCUAUGGAGAAGUCUAAACAGCAAGAAACAAAAGCCUGCCAGCAACCACGUGAGUGAGCUAGGAAGUAGAUUUUCCAGUCCCAGCUAAACCUUAUGAAAACUGGCCCAUAGCUUCAUUUCAAACUCAUGAGAGAUCCUGAAUCAAGACAGCUAAGCUACUUAGAUUACUUAUAACAGCAAAACUUUGGGAACAACCUAAAUAUCCAUCCCUAGGAGACUGGUUAAAUUGCCUACAGUGCAUGCACAAUGGGUUAUAUGUACCUGUGAGAAAAAAGAAGGAAGAUCUUUAUGAGUUGAUACUAGGGUGAUUCCCAG
rnacentral:lncRNA from 1 species